rnacentral:lncRNA from 1 species
GCUCAAUUGGCUUUUUGGUGUCAGCAACUUCCAGUGGCAGUGGCAAUAGCAGCAGCAAGUGAAUAUAUUUAUUUUAUUUGAAAAGCAAAUGGUAGUUGGCCAAUCGUUGGCCAAUUUAGUCUGCGUUUAAGCAGCACUGCGAACGGUUAACAAAAUUUUCAAACGCAUUGAAAGUGGCCCUUUUUUCGGUGGAUUGCAAAACAAGGAAAAGAUUCACAGAUUAUCUUGUUUUGUAAUAAAAGUUAAUAGAAUCAUUAAUACGAAGCUGAAAAUAAAUUUAAACAAAAUAAUAAUUGUUGACGGUGUGUUAAAGUGUUGGAAAUAAAUGCCUAUAACAACAACAACAAGAAGAAAAGUGCAAUAACAAGUCAAGUGAAACGAAACGCUGUGCAAAACACAACGACAACAACAACAACAACAGGAAGAGAUUUACUUACAAGUAAGGCAAACCAAACCAAACCAAUCCAAGCAGCAACUACAAAAGACUUAAGCAACGAACUUGGAUUUGAAACAAAAUUCGUCGAGUACUGCCACAUUGGUACAAUUUCAA